rnacentral:rRNA from 1 species
UUUAUUGGAGAGUUUGAUCCUGGCUCAGGAUGAACGCUGGCGGCGUGCCUAAUACAUGCAAGUCGAGCGAAUGAAUUAAGAGCUUGCUCUUAUGAAGUUAGCGGCGGACGGGUGAGUAAUACGUGGGUAACCUGCCCAUAAGACUGGGAUAACUCCGGGAAACCGGGGCUAAUACCGGAUAACAUUUUGAACCGCAUGGUUCGGAAUUGAAAGGCGGCUUCGGCUGUCACUUAUGGAUGGACCCGCGUCGCAUUAGCUAGUUGGUGAGGUAACGGCUCACCAA